AUUGAACGCUGGCGGCAGGCCUAACACAUGCAAGUCGAACGCGUCGCGGGCGGGUGAGUUAUGUCUGGGAAUGCGCCUGGUGGGGGGGGAAAACCACUGGAAAGGGUAGAAAAUACCGUAUACCAACGGAUGUGCCCAUAGGGGAUUAGCUAGUAGGUGGGGUAACGGCUCACCUAGGCGACGAUCCCUAGCUGGUCUGAGAGGAUGACCAGCCACACUGGAACUGAGACACGGUCCAGACUCCUACGGGAGGCAGCAGUGGGGAAUAUUGCACAAUGGGCGCAAGCCUGAUGCAGCCAUGCCGCGUGUAUGAAGAAGGCCUUCGGGUUGUAAAGUACUUUCAGCGGGGAGGCGUUACCCGCAGAAGAAGCACCGGCUAACUCCGUGCCAGCAGCCGCGGUAAUUC
rnacentral:rRNA from 1 species